AGUGAACGCUGGCGGUAGGCCCAACACAUGCAAGUCGAACGGCAGCACAGUAAGAGCUUGCUCUUACGGGUGGCGAGUGGCGGACGGGUGAGGAAUACAUCGGAAUCUACUUUUUCGUGGGGGAUAACGUAGGGAAACUUACGCUAAUACCGCAUACGACCUACGGGUGAAAGCAGGGGAUCUUCGGACCUUGCGCGAUUGAAUGAGCCGAUGUCGGAUUAGCUAGUUGGCGGGGUAAAGGCCCACCAAGGCGACGAUCCGUAGCUGGUUUGAGAGGAUGAUCAGCCACACUGGAACUGAGACACGGUCCAGACUCCUACGGGAGGCAGCAGUGGGGAAUAUUGGACAAUGGGCGCAAGCCUGAUCCAGCCAUACCGCGUGGGUGAAGAAGGCCUUCGGGUUGUAAAGCCCUUUUGUUGGGAAAGAAAAGCAGCAGGUUAAUACCCCGCUGUUCUGACGGUACCCAAAGAAUAAGCACCGGCUAACUUCGUG
rnacentral:rRNA from 1 species